GACGAACGCUGGCGGCGUGCUUAACACAUGCAAGUCGAACGGAAAGGCCCUGCUUUUGUGGGGUGCUCGAGUGGCGAACGGGUGAGUAACACGUGAGUAACCUGCCCUUGACUUUGGGAUAACUUCAGGAAACUGGGGCGAAUACCGGAUAGGAGCUCCUGCUGCAUGGGGGUGGUUGGAAAGUGUCGGCGGUAGGGGAUGGACUCGCGGCUUAUCAGCUUGUUUGUGGGGUAGUGGCUUACCAAGGCUUUGACGGGUAGCCGGCCUGAGAGGGUGACCGGGCACAUUGGGACUGAGGUAGGGCGCAGACUGCUACGGGAGGCAGCAGUGGGGAAUAUUGCACAAUGGGGGGAAGCCUGAUGCAGCGACGCCGCGUGCGGGAUGACGGCCUUCGGGUUAUAAACCGCUUUCGCCUGUGACGAAGCGUGAGUGACGGUAAUGGGUAAAGAAGCACCGGCUAACUACGUG
rnacentral:rRNA from 1 species